GAGAAGAAGUUUAAGUAGCUUACGACAUUCAAAUGGAUGAAUACGUAGUUACUAUUUUCUUAUACUUUAAUUGAAUUAAUCAAUUGCGAGACAAUAUAUAAUAAUACCAAUGUAUUCAACCAAGACGUAGACAUAGCUCAGUGGUCGUUGCUCCUCCUCGUGGGAUAACCGUUUGAGGUUCGAAGCCCCUCCGGCCGGCCUGGUAUGUGUGCGUGGUAUUUUUUUUGUUUUCUUUUUGUUAAUUAUUAAAUCGUUAUUAAAAAACAAAUUAUUAUGUGUAUAUAUAUACAUAAGCAAAGAUUUACACAUAUAUAUAGAUAUACACAAAUAUUUUGACACUAAUUGAGUUUCCACACUAAAAAUAAAGAAAUCUGUACACAUAUAAAUGUAUUAAUAUUUAAUUAUUAUUUCAACAUUUAUUACUACAACAUUUAUUUAUUGUAAAGAAAUGUGUACAUAUAUUAUUACAACAUUUAUUUAUUGUUCUUCAUUUCGUAUAGGUGUACACUUUUAUUUACUAUUUGAAAGAAUUAAAAAUAAAUAUUAUUUACAUAUUUUAUAUACAUCUUGGUUUAUUUGACUUAUCAAUUAGUAGAAUGAUAUAGGAUUAUGGACAUGAUUAACAGCAUUGUCCGUCAUGGACCUGCAGUUGGCGGCCGGCGUGGAUCUCCUGC
rnacentral:lncRNA from 1 species